GGUAAGGCACAACGAUUGAUUUACAAAACCCUUGCCAUUCUCUCUGAUAGCUGCUAGUCGCGACGCGCUUCUCGUCCAUACUCUCAUCAAAGAGAUACUUAAAACAUUUGGGAUACAAAGUAACUUAUGUACAGAACUUCACGGAUGUUGAUUAUAAGAUAAUUCGCAAAGCAUAUGAAUUGAGGGAAGAUCCAUUGAAUUUGAGUCGUCGAUUUUCCAAAGAAUUUAAUGAUGAUAUGGUUGAUCUUCAGUGCCUACCUCCUACUCAUGAACUACAUAUGAGCCAGAUGAAAGAUAUGAUAGCUCAGGAAAUUCUCUGCCUCUCACUCUACUCAUAUUUUUGAAAUCGCAACUAGAUUAUUGAAUAUGAUUUUUAUUUUUAUUUUUGUGUGUGCAUUAUUCGAGUGAAUAACAACUAUUGAAAUACGUAGUCGCCACACUUAGUAUAAUUGGUAUUAUGAGAGAUUCUGAAUCUAUUUUCAUAGGAUGUAUGUGAACCAGAGGUUGUUAACAUCAAGUCAGCCUGUACUUUUAAGUUUUCAUUAUUAGAUUUUGAUCUUGAAAAUCAUCUGCUCAUCUGCCAUCGAUGUUGUCUAUUUCAGUUUGUCCUUUUCUCUUGUUGAUGAUGUUAUAGCUCAAAAUUACCUUUCUAUAUUUGUGGCCUCUUUGCUUAAAUCACGAUUUAAUGGGAAAAAAAAAAAAAAAAAACAAACAAAGGAAAGAAUCCUACUGUUCUAGAUGCCCAACUUGGGUGUAUUGGUUAGAGUGGUCCUCUGCUGUAUAAGUCAUGAAAUCAAAACUCGCUUGGCUGUUUUGAAAUCCACCAACCAUUGUAUUUUCUAGGAAAACAUGGAGAUGUGAAAGUGAAUUUUACUAUAGAGCAGAAGCUGCAAAAGAGGAGACGAAUUGAGCUUGGUCACUUUUCUCACUCUGUUGAAGGCUUCCUAGUAGGGUGGAAUUAGUGUAUCAGACAGUUCUGUCGUAUCAUUUCAGCAAGGUUGGGUCAGUGGUGGACAUUGUCAUCGUAGGUAGCAGGUGGACAGGCCAUUGACGGGGAUUUGCAUUCAUGUGGUUUGCUUCAAGAGUAGAAGCAGAGAUCACGUUGAAGAGCUUGAUGGUCCAAUUGUUUUUGGGAGAAAAAUCAAAGUUGGUUUUGCUACAUAUAGCUUUGAGGUCUUAUGUGGUAUGGCAGGGGAUUACGUUUCAUCCUUCAGCAGUCCGGGAGGCACGAGGAUAGGGUAGAAAGGGAAGACAUGACUUAGAAGGGGGAGGGUCUCUAGGAGAGUAGGUAUCACUUAGAGGGAUGAAGGACAAUUAACCACUUGCUCUAAAAGCUCGAAUUGAUAGAUUAUGGUGAAUUAAUCCCUUUAUCUCAUAGCCCAGGCCCCACAUCAGAUGGGUUAGGAUCUCAGCCGAACCCCCCUCGUGGGCCCCACAUCACAUGGGUUCCGCC